rnacentral:lncRNA from 1 species
AAAAUGAAAACUAGGGCAUAAAGAUCCCAAGAACAAUGCUGCAAAAAUAUCUAGAAGAAAGUACAAAAGUGGAAAAAGUUGGUAAAAAUGAGGUAUGGUGCUCAAAAGUGGCACCUGCUACUUAUAGACCACUGCUGGGCUGUCAUGUUCGCUAGGCGAGCAGAAUGGCUCGCCUAGCGAGGGUCUAAAAUGGGCACAAAAGGCCCCUGCGCCCAGAGAAAACAGGGCCUGCUGAACUGUCAUGUUCGCCUAGCGAACAUACCUUCGCCUAGCGAAGGACACGCUUCAACCUUCGCCCCAGCGAGGUUGAGAGGUUUUGCUACUGGAAUGCUCGCUGGGGACUCGCUAGAGCUUCGCCUAGCGAGUGAGUGCUGGCUGCGUUUUUCACCAAAACAGAAUGAACUCGCUACCACAUUCGCCUUGAGCUCGCCUAGCGAAUUAAUUUGCUAAUUUACUGGAGCUUUUCGCCUGGAACUCGCCUAGCGAACCAAUGCUUCGCCACAGCCUCGCCUAGCGAGCAGGCUGAUGAAAUGCUUGUAUUCUUUGGUUCCUUUGCCAAUUUUCUUGUGUCUUCAUUUUCAAUUAGUUCAUGUCUUUCCUGCACAAUAACACACAAAUCAAAGGCACCAAGCUUGUUUAUCAAUGUAAUGCAUUCCAUGUAAAACAAAUGUGGUUUUGACAAUUUUAGCAAGGAAAAAGAGUGAAAGAUGCCCACAUAUGAUAGCUCAAAUAAGCACUUUUGGGCAUCUAACAACUCUCCCCAACUAGAUUCUUGCUUGUCCUCAAGCAAAGUAUGCCUCUUGAAGGACAAGAGGAUUUGCUUUAAGAAAAUGGUUUCUCCGAAGUUGGAUAAACGGCUCAAACACAAGCGAAAUCAGCAUAUACAAGUUUCCAACGGUUCGAAUAAAAUAAUACAUAAGAACUAAAACUUAAAUAGCAAUGCAAAAUAUUUAUCUAUCUACAACAAUACUAUUCUGAAUGAAUCAUCCUAUCUCUCCUCUUCGAAUAAGGAAUGAAGAUUUUGCGCGUUUGCAACCGCGGGACUAAUCUCACUCUCUAACAAAUAAUGAAGAAAUCAAAUAGAUUCAUACAAUGUCUAACAAUUAAAAAUGGUACUGUGGAAGCAUAAAGAUCACUAAGGGCUUUUCGGUUGAAGCUUGGUUAGGUUAACAAACAAGGGUCAUUUCUAAGGCCAUUGAAACGAAAGUGCCGAUGCAAAAGAGACAUUCACAGUAUUAUUCACACUACUCGACUUUGUUUCCUUUGUUUCUUAUUUGUAACCUUCACAACACAUAUUCCACAACUCCACUUUUAUUUUUCACUAUUUUUCUUCCAAGCAAGCAUUUUUUUUUCAUUCUUUCUAUUUUUGUUCUUUUCUUUCACAUCAAAUAUACAAAACAGAUGUUUAUUUUCUACAUUUUCUAUACAUAUAUUUUUCUAUGCUUGCUCGGUUUUUCUUUUCUUUUUCAAGAGUUGUGGUACUUACCAAUUCUUUUUCGUUCUCCCCAACUUAUUUCUUCCACACCCUAAGUGAAUGCUCUUAACUUUUUACGGCAAAAGAACAAUAAUCAAGAUUUUCCGGGUUGUAAAAAAAAGAUUUUUGAGAUCUCGCUUUAUUUCAAGCCGAGAUUCAACUG